rnacentral:rRNA from 1 species
UACAGAGGGUGCAAGCGUUGUUCGGAAUUAUUGGGCGUAAAGGGCGUGUAGGUGGUUUUGUAAGUCUGGCGUGAAAUUUUUCGGCUUAACCGGGAAAGGUCGUCGGAUACUGCAAGGCUAGAGGACGGUAGAGGCGUGUGGAAUUCCGGGUGUAGCGGUGAAAUGCGUAGAUAUCCGGAGGAACACCGAUGGCGAAGGCAACCGCCUGGGCCUGUACUGACGCUGAGAGACGAAAGCUAGGGGAGCGAAUGGG